rnacentral:rRNA from 1 species
UACAGAGGUCUCAAGCGUUGUUCGGAUUCAUUGGCGUAAAGGGUGCGGAGGCGGCGCGGUAAGUCGGGUGUGAAAUCUCGGAGCUUAACUCCGAAACUGCAUUCGAUACUGCCGUGCUUGAGGACUGGAGAGGAGACUGGAAUUUACGGUGUAGCGGUGAAAUGCGUAGAUAUCGUAAGGAAGACCAGUGGCGAAGGCGGGUCUCUGGACAGUUCCUGACGCUGAGGCACGAAGGCCAGGGGAGCAAACGGG